AUACGGAGGGAGCGAGCGUUAAUCGGAAUUACUGGGCGUAAAGCGCGCGUAGGCGGCUUUGUAAGUCGGAUGCGAAAGCCCUGGGCUUAACCUGGGAAUGGCAUUCGAUACUGCAGAGCUAGAGGAUGGUAGAGGGAAGUGGAAUUUCCGGUGUAGCGGUGAAAUGCGUAGAUAUCGGAAGGAACACCAGUGGCGAAGGAGACUUCCUGGGCCAAUACUGACGCUGAGGUGCGAAAGCGUGGGGAGCAAACAGGAUUAGAAACCCCAGUAGUCC
rnacentral:rRNA from 1 species